GAUGAACGCUGGCGGCGUGCCUAAUACAUGCAAGUCGAGCGAACAGACGAGGAGCUUGCUCCUCUGAUGUUAGCGGCGGACGGGUGAGUAACACGUGGAUAACCUACCUAUAAGACUGGGAUAACUUCGGGAAACCGGAGCUAAUACCGGAUAACAUGUUGAACCGCAUGGUUCAACAGUGAAAGACGGUCUUGCUGUCACUUAUAGAUGGAUCCGCGCCGCAUUAGCUAGUUGGUAAGGUAACGGCUUACCAAGGCAACGAUGCGUAGCCGACCUGAGAGGGUGAUCGGCCACACUGGAACUGAGACACGGUCCAGACUCCUACGGGAGGCAGCAGUAGGGAAUCCUCCGCAAUGGGCGAAAGCCUGACGGAGCAACGCCGCGUGAGUGAAGAAGGUCUUCGGAUCGUAAAACUCUGUUAUUAGGGAAGAACAAAUGUGUAAGUAACUAUGCACGUCCUGACGGUACCUAAUCAGAAAGCCACGGCUAACUACGUG
rnacentral:rRNA from 1 species